GACGAACGCUGGCGGCGCGCCUAACACAUGCAAGUCGAACGAGCGAGCGAGAGCUUGCUUUCUUGAGCGAGUGGCGAACGGGUGAGUAACACGUGAGGAACCUGCCCCAAAGAGGGGGACAACAGUUGGAAACGACGGCUAAUACCGCAUAAGACCACGUUGCCGCCUGGCACCGAGGGAAAAAGAGCGAUCCGCUUUGAGAUGGCCUCGCGUCCGAUUAGCUUGUUGGUGGGGUUACCGCCCACCAAUGCGACGGUCGGGAGACGGGAUGGGAGGUUGAAUCGCGACAACUGGGAUGAGGCACAGUCGAGAAUCCGACGGGAGGGAGGAGAGGGGAAUAGAGCACCACGGGGGAAAAGCUGAUGGAGCGGCGUCGGGGAGAGGGAGUAGGUCGUGGGAAAGUAAAGUCCUGUUGGUUGGGAAGAUAAUGACGGUACCCAACAAGGAAGCGACGGCUAACUACGUG
rnacentral:rRNA from 1 species